AGCGAACGCUGGCGGCAGGCCUAACACAUGCAAGUCGAACGAACCUUUCGGGGUUAGUGGCGGACGGGUGAGUAACACGUGGGAACGUGCCUUUAGGUUCGGAAUAACUCAGGGAAACUUGUGCUAAUACCGAAUGUGCCCUUCGGGGGAAAGAUUUAUCGCCUUUAGAGCGGCCCGCGUCCGAUUAGCUAGUUGGUUGAGGUAAUGGCUCACCAAGGCGACGAUCAGUAGCUGGUCUGAGAGGAUGAUCAGCCACAUUGGUACUGAGACACGGCCCAAACUCCUACGGGAGGCAGCAGUGGGGAAUCUUGCGCAAUGGGCGAAAGCCUGACGCAGCCAGGCCGCGUGAAUGAUGAAGGUCUUAGGAUUGUAAAAUUCUUUCACCGGGGACGAUAAUGACGGUACCCGGAGAAGAAGCCCCGGCUAACUUCGUG
rnacentral:rRNA from 1 species